CACAUUGGAGCGCAACCGAUAAUGAAAUAGGUCUAUCAGGUACCUUAACAUCUGCUGCAACUACAUCCAGAAGUCCAAGGUUUAAAAAAAAUCUAUAUGAAGCAAUUUGUAGUAGAGAACUAUUAUACAAUUGUUAUAGACUGAACGCCUAUGUCCCUCCCAAUAUUCACAGGUUGAAUCCCUUAUUCCAAAACGUAAUGGUAUUUGGAGAUGGAAUCUUUGGGAAGUGACUAGAGUCAGAUGACGCCAUGAUGGUCUGAUGGGCAGGGACAGGAGAGAGCUUUCUCUCUCUCUCUCUUUCUCUCUCUCUCUCUCCCUCCCUCUUCAGGUGUGCAAAAACAAGAGGUCUGGAGAAAACACAGUGAAACGGCAGGCUCCUUUGAGCCAAGAAAAGAGGUCUCAGGAUGAAACUACCUUCCUGGCACCCUGGUCUUGGACUUCCUAGACUCCAGAAUUCGUUUCUUCACAAAUGACUCUUGACCGACAAGCAAACACCACCAGGCAUCUGGAUGAGCGGCGUGUCCUGCUGCUGAUUAUUUUGAAAUAGCAGCGAUGUUUUGAAACAGGCAUGUCUCCGUUGGCAGAUAAGAAAGACGAAGUGAAGUGAGGCACCAGCACACCACAGUGCUCCGUCAAGCUCUUGUCUAUUAAACAAACGACAUAUCCCAAAUUCUACUGAUACAUGAAUCAAGAGAAGCUUCUCAAGUUAUAGAUCUCAGAGUAAAUAUAUAUACCAUCCUAUCCCAAUCCAUCUUGCUCUAAAUACUGCUUUUUCUGAGGCUGUCAAAAGCACAAGCUGCCAUGGUAAUGACAGGAAGAUAUGGGUGAAAUGCCAGCCCUAAUUAGAGACUUGAUUGCUCUGUAAUAACAAGGCCUGUAUUUGAUUUGGACGGUUCUGGGUUGUCAGUUGCCGGUAUCCUGCAUAGAAUAGGCUUAAGUGAAAAGAACCUGGAGUCUGAAGAAGCACAACACUAGUGUGUUUUCAUCAUCAUGUUUUAAAUAUAAGGUGUGUUACCAGAAAGGGGUCCCAAUCUAGACCCUAAGAGAGGGUUUUGGAUCUUGCACAAGAAAAGAAUUCAGGACAAAUCUACCGAGUAAAGUGAAAGCAAGUUUAUUAAGAAAGUAAAGGAAUAAAAGAAAGCCUACUCCAUAGACAGAGCAUGGUGUUCCCAGAAGGAAGAGAAGGAACACAUCCACCUUAAACAGAGCAUGGUGUUCCCAGAAGGAAGAGAAGGAACACAUCCACCUUAAACAGAGCAUGGUGUUCCCAGAAGGAAGAGAAGGAACACAUCCACCUUAGACAGAGCAUGGUGUUCCCAGAAGGAAAAGAAGGAACACAUCCACCUUAGACAGAGCAUGGUGUUCCCAGAAGGAAAAGAAGGAACACAUCCACCUUAGGAUAUUGGGACAUCAGGACAUUUUCUGGGUCUGUUAUCUCCUGGAUCUGUUAAAUCCUGGUGUUAGCGGCAGCAAAUCCAUAUGGGUCUGCAGCAACCUCAAUCCUCGCCUUCUCUGAAGAAAGAAUUCAGCCAAGGGGCAUAAGGCAGAGUGAGAGCCCAGCAGCUCUCAGCCUCAUCUGACCCAGCCCCUAUUCAAGAUGGAGACGCCCUGGUUCAGACGCCUCUGACAGAUGCUCCAAGAUGAUGUGAAGCAGAUACAAGUGCCCUUCUUGUCUCAUGGACUCAAUCAGGAGAUAUGAAGAUUGACAACUGAUUGGCAAAAGUGAAGUCACUGUGUGACCUGUCCUGAAAAGAUGGUGGCUGCAUCUAGAAACAGUGACGUGUUUGGGGAACAAUGGAGUAGAGUCAGAGACGCACCUACUAAGACAUUUUGGCUGCUGGGCACCUGAACAUGAGCAAUGUGAAGCUUCCGGUGCGUGUUUCCAUAGAGAGUUUUCUGAUAAUGUGUCAGUUAUUUUUAGCCACAAAACACUAUAAGACAACUGAGCAUGCUUUUCAGUGGCUAACAACUAUAAGCAUUAAUUUUGCUCAUGCACUAAGGGAUGACUGAGCCCUUCUGCUGGCCUGGGCCACGCCUAACUGAUUGCAGCUGGGCUAGCUCUUGCAUCAGCUGGUGGAUUGGCCUGGGGCAGGCUGGCCUGGGGUAGCUUUGGUUGGGAUGAUUUUUUUCUGCUCUGUGGUCUUUCAUCUUGUGAUAGGCUAGUCUCGGCUUUUCCUACAGUGGAGGCAGGGGUCUGAGGGAAGAAGUGGAAACACUUGAGGCCUGGGAGGCCUACUCUGAUAAUAAGCCAAGUCACCUCUGCUGCAUUCUAUUGGUUAGAGCAAGCCACAGCUCAGCCCAGACACAAGAGUUGGGCAACACCCUCUACUUCUUGAUGAGAGGAGCUAACAUGUAACUUUGCAAAUGGAAUAAAUAUAGAAAAAGGUGAAAAUUCAGGGCCAUUUUUGCAAUCAGUCCAUUACAGAUGGUUUAUUAUUGAGAAACAUCUAUACAUCCAUAUCCAUAUAAAAUUACAUAUCUGUAUCUAUUUUUGAUGUUAUAGUUGACCCCUGAUCCAGAGAAGAAAGGGAUAGAGUGUAAUAAUCUCUGCUUUCUGGUGGAUCUCCUGUUGUUGAGUAAAAGGGAAUAUGAUCAGGAAAUCACAAAUAUCAAAAGAAUGGAAUGGAUAACUGACAAAUGAUUUAUAUUCCAUAUGCGUAUGUCACAUUUAAUAAAACAAAAUUAUGGCUGAGCACAGUGGCUCACACCUAUAAUCUUAGCACUUUGGAGGCCGAGGAGGGCGGAUCACAAGGUCAAGUUUAAGACCAGCCUGAACGACAUGGUGAAACCCCGUCUCUACUAAAAAUACAAAAAUUAGCUGGGCAUGGUGGUGCAUACCUGUAAUCCUAGCUAUUCAGGAGGCUGAGGCAGGAGAAUCGCUUGAACCCAGGAGGCAGAGGUUGCAGUGAGCUAAGAUCGUGCCACUGCACUCCAGCCUGGGUGACAGAGUGAGACUCCAUCUCAAACAAACAAACAAACAAACACCCCACAAAACUACAUAAUAGGAAAAUGUACUUGAUAAUAUUAAACUUUUAAGCAGUCCUUUAGAAAUGGCUGAGAAAAGUGAUUAGGAAAAGGGUGAAAACCUCCAACACUUAGGGAAAAUCCUGUAGCUAUCAGCGGCAGAAAGCAAUCCUUAAUUUUCCGUAUGUCCCAGAGGGAAUGAGAAAGUCAACUGGACUGAGGCUGU
rnacentral:lncRNA from 10 species